GAAAAAGAAAAAAAAGAAGAGGGAAAUAUUUUGCAUGCUAAAGUGGAAUAGGGACGACACCGGUCGAUUAAGUCGUACAACUUUAGAUCAUCCCUUAGGACAUACCCCUGAAAUUCCUUCGCAGUAUCUCACACCUUGUGAGAUGGCUGAUUUAAAUGAAGAUGCGGGGAGUCACCACAAUCGAGAACGAGAACCCCAUGUUAUG
rnacentral:lncRNA from 1 species